AAAUUACAGGAAUCUCCACUAGCAGGAAAAGCAGGAGAACAAGGGACGGGGAAGGUUCCAUGUCCCCCAGACUAUCCCUCUCUCAGGGAGAACGCUCUUGGUCUCCCCUUCUCUUGCAGCCAUGUAAACUGACGCUCUUCCGCUGCGCAGAGUUCCUCGGGUGGGCUCAUUUGAAGACGCUGUUCCGCAGCAUGGCCUGGGAUGGAUCCUCACAGCUCUUGAAAUGUGUCUGGAUCUGUUUGAUGCAGAACAAUGAGAACCACUUCCCCAAAUUCCUCUUCCAGGCCUUACAGUAACUGAAAAGCUCACAGACAACAAUAAGACAUUCAGCAGCCCAAUUCAUUGGAAAUACUAUCCACCAUUACUGCGACUUGUUGUCUGAAACAGUGAAUGAAGAUGGCAUCUCCCGCCUGUAUGAAGCUUUUCACGAAGUGCCUUUGAAAUCAGACAGGACCACGUGGUACAUCCUCAGCAGACAUUAUAAAU